CAGUGACCCUGUUCAACGGCCGCGGUAUCCUAACCGUGCGAAGGUAGCGUAAUCACUUGUCUUUUAAAUAGGGACUAGUAUGAAAGGCAUCACGAAGGCUAAACUGUCUCCUCUCUCUAAUCAGUGAACCUAAUCUCCCCGUGAAGAAGCGGGGAUUCCUAUAUAAGACGAGAAGACCCUAUGGAGCUUUAAACACAUAACACUGCCACAACUUACAACUACCCAGGUAUUUUUCCCCUCACAGCACACUGAUUAAGAGUUUUCGGUUGGGGUGACCGCGGAGAAAAACCCAUCCUCCACAAUGAAAGGGGACUCCCCUAAACAAUAAGUUACAACUUUAUGUAUCAACAAUUUGACAUCUAUUGACCCAACAAAUUGAUCAACGAACCAAGUUACCCUAGGGAUAACAGCGCAAUCCACUUUGAGAGCCCCUAUCGACAAGUGGGCUUACGACCUCGAUGUUGGAUCGGGAUGACCUAGUGGUGCAGCCGCUACUAAAGGUUCGUUUGUUCAACGAUUAAAAUCCCACGUGAUCUGAGUUCAGACCGGA
rnacentral:rRNA from 1 species